UGGGCCCUACGGGGGGCAGCAGUGGGGAAUAUUGGGCAAUGGGCGCAAGCCUGACCCAGCAACGCCACGUGAAGGAAGAAGGCUUUCGGGUUGUAAACUUCUUUUCUCAGGGAUGAAGAAAGUGACGGUACCUGAGGAAUAAGCCACGGCUAACUACGUGCCAGCAGCCGCGGUAAUACGUAGGUGGCAAGCGUUAUCCGGAUUUACUGGGUGUAAAGGGCGUGUAGGCGGGACUGCAAGUCAGAUGUGAAAACCACGGGCUCAACCUGUGGCCUGCAUUUGAAACUGUAGUUCUUGAG
rnacentral:rRNA from 1 species